rnacentral:rRNA from 2 species
GGUGAAAGGCUUGCUGCCUGAAAAUGAGCUCGCGUCUGAUUAGCUAGUAGGGGGGGUAAGAGCCUACCUAGGCGACGAUCAGUAGCUGGUCUGAAAGGAUGAUCAGCCACACUGGGACUGAAACACGGCCCAAACUCCUACGGGAGGCAGCAGGGGGGAAUUUUCCGCAAUGGGCGAAAGCCUGACGGAGCAAUACCGCGUGAGGGAGGAAGGCUCUUGGGUUGUAAACCUCUUUUCUCAAGGAAAAACACAAUGACGGUACUUGAGGAAUCAGCAUCGGCUAACUCCGUGCCAGCAGCCGCGGUAAUACGGAGGAUGCAAGCGUUAUCCGGAAUGAUUGGGCGUAAAGCGUCCGCAGGUGGUGAUGUAAGUCUGCUGUCAAAGCGUCUAGCUCAACUAAAUACAGGCAGUGGAAACUACAUGACUAGAGUGCGUUCGGGGCAGAGGGAAUUCCUGGUGUAGCGGUGAAAUGCGUAAAUAUCAGGAAGAACACCGGUGGCGAAAGCGCUCUGCUAGGCCGCAACUGACACUGAGGGACGAAAGCUAGGGGAGCGAAUGGGAUUA